CCCAUGGGGCGAGAGGGAAUCCGGUCCGUAUUCCGGAACCCGACGCGGAACCGCUCCCUAGUGUUCGGGGCUCUUUUGUCUCGUCCGGGCGACCGGAAUGAACUCGAAGAAGCCGCCGGGGGGUCUUGGAAGAGUUCUCUUUUCUCUGUGAGCGUUGUACGUCCCUGGAAUCCUCUAGCCGGGCGAUAGGGACGCGAGCGCGAAGAGCACCGCUCGUUGCGGCGGUGU
rnacentral:rRNA from 1 species